rnacentral:rRNA from 1 species
UACGUAGGGUGCAAGCGUUAAUCGGAAUUACUGGGCGUAAAGCGUGCGCAGGCGGCUUUGCAAGACAGAUGUGAAAUCCCCGGGCUCAACCUGGGAACUGCAUUUGUGACUGCAAGGCUAGAGUACGGUAGAGGGGGAUGGAAUUCCGCGUGUAGCAGUGAAAUGCGUAGAUAUGCGGAGGAACACCGAUGGCGAAGGCAAUCCCCUGGGCCUGCACUGACGCUCAUGCACGAAAGCGUGGGGAGCAAACAGG